rnacentral:tRNA from 1 species
GCGGACGUGGUGGAAUGGCAGACACACCAGAUUUAGGUUCUGGCACCGCAAGGUAUGAGAGUUCAAGUCUCUCCGUCCGCA